rnacentral:rRNA from 1 species
GUAAGCAAAGGAAGGGCACACGGUGGAUGCCUAGGCACUAAGAGGCGAAGAAGGACGGGACUAGCGCCGAAAUUCCUCGGGGAGCCGCAAGUGGGCAUAGAUCCGGGGGUAUCCGAAUGGGGGAACCCGCUAGGUGAGGAGACCUAGCAUACGCUACUGAAGAUGUUAGUAGGUAGUAGUAGGCAAGACUAGGGGAACUGAAACAUCUAAGUACCCUAAGGAAGAGAAAGCAGAAGCGAUUCCUUGAGUAGUGGCGAGCGAAAGAGGAGGAGCCCAAACCUAUGUAGGUAAUACAUAGGGGUUGAAGGACGCCUAAGUUAAGUAAUAUACGAGUAGUGUAGACGAAUUGGGAUGGGAAGCCCAGCCGAAGGAGGUAAGAGCCCUGUAGUCAAAACAUGAGGUAUAUGAAGUAGGCGAUCCUGAGUACCACGAGGCACGAGGAACCUUGUGGGAAGCAGGGAGGACCAACUUCCAAGGCUAAAUACUACUUAGUGACCGAUAGAGGAAAGUACCGUGAGGGAAAGGUGAAAAGCACCCCGGGAGGGGAGUGAAAGAGGAACUGAAACCGUGUGUUUACAAGCAGUCGGAGCUAUGAUAGGAGUAGCGACGGCGUGCCUUUUGUAGAAUGAGCCGGCGAGAGGCAUGCACAUGCGAGGUUAAGGUAGGGUACUACUGGAGCCGAAGCGAAAGCGAGUCUGAAGAGGGCGUAUAAGUAUGUGUAUGCGGACCCGAAACCGUGUGAUCUACCCAUGGCCAGAAUGAAGCUAAGGUAGGACUUAGUGGAGGUUCGAACCCACUGGUGUUGAAGAACCAGGGGAUGAGCUGUGGGUAGGGGAGAAAUUCCAAUCGAACACGGAGAUAGCUGGUUUUCCUCGAAAUAGUUAUAGGGCUAGCCUAUAUAGGGAAGUAUAUGGAGGUAGAGCACUGAGUGGAUGAGGGGCCAAAGAAUGGUUACCAAGUUCAAUCAAACUACGAAUGCCAUAUACAGAUACUAUAUGGAGUGAGACUAUGGGUGCUAAGAUUCAUAGUCGAGAGGGGAAGAGCCCAGACCAACAGCUAAGGUCCAAGAGUUAAGGUUAAGUGAGGAAGGAUGUUUUGUUGCGUAGACAGCCAGGAUGUUGGCUUAGAAGCAGCCAUCAUUAGAAGAGUGCGUAACAGCUCACUGGUCAAGUGACAAAGCGCCGAAAAUGGACGGGACUAAACCUAACACCGAAGCUAUGGAUAUACGAGUGAAGUUGUAUAUGGUAGAGGAACGUACUAAUAGAGGGGAAGCAUACCUGAGAGGGUAUGUGGAUUUAUUAGUAGAGAGAAUGCCGGCAUGAGUAGCGAAGACAUGGGUGAGAAUCCCAUGGGCCGAAAGUCUAAGGAUUCCUGGGGGAGGUUCGUCCGCCCAGGGUAAGUCGGGACCUAAGCUGAGGCAGAGAUGCGUAGGCGAUGGACAACAGGUAGAGAAUCCUGUACCACUUAGUAGCGAUAUUUUACGAAGCGGUGACACAGGAGGGCAGGUAAGCGUGGUGGAGGAAUAGCACGUACAAGCAGUGAGGGAGGAUAUACAGGGAAGUCCGUAUAUCUGAAGAACUGAGCUGUGAAGUGGAGGGAAGAUAAGAGUACCGAAGUUACUGAGCUCACACUGUCAAGAAAAGCCGCUAGGAGCAACUAAGUGCCCGUACCGUAGACCGACACAGGUAGACAGGGAGAGGAUCCCAAGGCAAGCGAGAGAACUCUCGUUAAGGAACUCGGCAAAAAGCCUCCGUAACUUAGGGAGAAGGAGGGCCACGGUAGGGUUAGGAGCCCGAGGUGGCCGCAGAGGAAAGCCCCAGGCGACUGUUUAACAAAAACACAGGUCUCUGCGAAGCUGGGAAGCGAAGUAUAGGGGCUGACGCCUGCCCGGUGCUGGAAGGUAAAGGGGAAGAGUGAGGAUAUAUACUUAAGGGUAUAUAUAAGAGCUUAGAACCGAAGCCCCAGUGAACGGCGGCCGUAACUAUAACGGUCCUAAGGUAGCGAAAUUCCUUGUCGGGUAAAUUCCGACCC